UACGAAGGGGGCAAGCGUUGUUCGGAAUGACUGGGCGUAAAGGGCGCGUAGGCGGUUCGUUGCGUCAGAUGUGAAAGCCCCCGGGCUCAACCUGGGAACUGCAUUUGAUACGGGCGGGCUUGAAUCCAAGAGAGGGUGGUGGAAUUCCCAGUGUAGAGGUGAAAUUCGUAGAUAUUGGGAAGAACACCAGUGGCGAAGGCGGCCACCUGGCUUGGUAUUGACGCUGAGGCGGCGAAAAGCGUGGGGGAGCAAACAGG
rnacentral:rRNA from 1 species